rnacentral:rRNA from 1 species
GAUGAACGCUGGCGGCGUGCCUAAUACAUGCAAGUCGAGCGAACAGAUGAGGAGCUUGCUCCUCUGACGUUAGCGGCGGACGGGUGAGUAACACGUGGAUAACCUACCUAUAAGAUUGGGAUAACUUCGGGAAACCGGAGCUAAUACCGGAUAAUAUAUUGAACCGCAUGGUUCAAUAGUGAAAGACGGUUUUGCUGUCAAUUAUAGAUGGAUCCGCGCCGCAUUAGCUAGUUGGUAAGGUAACGGCUUACCAAGGCAACGAUGCGUAGCCGACCUGAGAGGGUGAUCGGCCACACUGGAACUGAGACACGGUCCAGACUCCUACGGGAGGCAGCAGUAGGGAAUCUUCCGCAAUGGGCGAAAGCCUGACGGAGCAACGCCGCGUGAGUGAUGAAGGUCUUCGGAUCGUAAAACUCUGUUAUUAGGGAAGAACAAAUGUGUAAGUAACUAUGCACGUCUUGACGGUACCUAAUCAGAAAGCCACGGCUAACUACGUG